rnacentral:tRNA from 1 species
GCCUGGGUGGUGAAACCGGUAGACACAAGGGACUUAAAAUCCCUCGCCCACCCGUAAGGGAGCGUGCGGGUUCGAGUCCCGCCCCAGGCACCA